rnacentral:rRNA from 1 species
UAGGGAAUCUUCGGCAAUGGACGAAAGUCUGACCGAGCAACGCCGCGUGAGUGAAGAAGGUUUUCGGAUCGUAAAACUCUGUUGGUAGAGAAGAACGUUGGUGAGAGUGGAAAGCUCAUCAAGUGACGGUAACUACCCAGAAAGGGACGGCUAACUACGUGCCAGCAGCCGCGGUAAUACGUAGGUCCCGAGCGUUGUCCGGAUUUAUUGGGCGUAAAGCGAGCGCAGGUGGUUUAUUAAGUCUGGUGUAAAAGGCAGUGGCUCAACCAUUGUAUGCAUUGGAAACUGGUAGACUUGAGUGCAGGAGAGGAGAGUGGAAUUCCAUGUGUAGCGGUGAAAUGCGUAGAUAUAUGGAGGAACACCGGUGGCGAAAGCGGCUCUCUGGCCUGUAACUGACACUGAGGCUCGAAAGCGUGGGGAGCAAACAGGAUUAGAUAGCCCUGGUAGUCCACGCCGUAAACGAUGA